rnacentral:misc_RNA from 1 species
GAUGAAGAACGUAGCGAAAUGCGAUAACUAAUGUGAAUUGCAGAAUUCCGUGAAUCAUCGAGUCUUUGAACGCACAUUGCGCCCCCUGGUAUUCCGGGGGGCAUGCCUGUCCGAGCGUCAUUGCUGCCCAUCAAGCACGGCUUGUGUGUUGGGUCCCGUCCCCCUCUCCCGGGGGACGGACCCGAAAGGCAGCGUCGGCACCGCGUCCGGUCCUCGAGCGUAUGGGGCUUUGUCACCCGCUCUUGUAGGCCCGGCCGGCGCUUGCCGACACCCAACCAUUUUUUUCAGGUUGACCUCGGAUCAGGUAGGGAUACCCGCUGAACUUAAGCAUAUCAAUAAGCGGAGGA